CCUACGGGAGGCAGCAGUAGGGAAUCUUCCGCAAUGGACGAAAGUCUGACGGAGCAACGCCGCGUGAGUGAUGAAGGUUUUCGGAUCGUAAAGCUCUGUUGUUAGGGAAGAACAAGUACGAGAGUAACUGCUCGUACCUUGACGGUACCUAACCAGAAAGCCACGGCUAACUACGUGCCAGCAGCCGCGGUAAUACGUAGGUGGCAAGCGUUGUCCGGAAUUAUUGGGCGUAAAGGGCUCGCAGGCGGUUUCUUAAGUCUGAUGUGAAAGCCCCCGGCUCAACCGGGGAAGGUCAUUGGAAACUGGGGAACUUGAGUGCAGAAGAGGAGAGUGGAAUUCCACGUGUAGCGGUGAAAUGCGUAGAGAUGUGGAGGAACACCAGUGGCGAAGGCGACUCUCUGGUCUGUAACUGACGCUGAGGAGCGAAAGCGUGGGGAGCGAACAGGAUUAGAUACCCUGGUAGUCCACGCCGUAAACGAUGAGUGCUAAGUGUUAGGGGGUUUCCGCCCCUUAGUGCUGCAGCUAACGCAUUAAGCACUCCGCCUGGGGAGUACGGUCGCAAGACUGAAACUCAAAGGAAUU
rnacentral:rRNA from 1 species